rnacentral:rRNA from 1 species
GACGAACGCUUUCGGCGUGCUUAACACAUGCAAGUCGAACGGAAAGGCCCUGCUUUUGUGGGGUGCUCGAGUGGCGAACGGGUGAGUAACACGUGAGUAACCUGCCCUUGACUUUGGGAUAACUUCAGGAAACUGGGGCUAAUACCGGAUAGGAGCUCCUGCUGCAUGGUGGGGGUUGGAAAGUUUCGGCGGUUGGGGAUGGACUCGCGGCUUAUCAGCUUGUUGGUGGGGUAGUGGCUUACCAAGGCUUUGACGGGUAGCCGGCCUGAGAGGGUGACCGGCCACAUUGGGACUGAGAUACGGCCCAGACUCCUACGGGAGGCAGCAGUGGGGAAUAUUGCACAAUGGGCGGAAGCCUGAUGCAGCAACGCCGCGUGCGGGAUGACGGCCUUCGGGUUGUAAACCGCUUUCGCCUGUGACGAAGCGUGAGUGACGGUAAUGGGUAAAGAAGCACCGGCUAACUACGUGCCAGCAGCCGCGGUGAUACGUAGGGUGCGAGCGUUGUCCGGAUUUAUUGGGCGUAAAGGGCUCGUAGGUGGUUGAUCGCGUCGGAAGUGUAAUCUUGGGGCUUAACCCUGAGCGUGCUUUCGAUACGGGUUGACUUGAGGAAGGUAGGGGAGAAUGGAAUUCCUGGUGGAGCGGUGGAAUGCGCAGAUAUCAGGAGGAACACCAGUGGCGAAGGCGGUUCUCUGGGCCUUUCCUGACGCUGAGGAGCGAAAGCGUGGGGAGCGAACAGGCUUAGAUACCCUGGUAGUCCACGCUGUAAACGGUGGGUACUAGGUGUGGGGUCCAUUCCACGGGUUCCGUGCCGUAGCUAACGCUUUAAGUACCCCGCCUGGGGAGUACGGCCGCAAGGCUAAAACUCAAAGGAAUUGACGGGGCCCCGCACAAGCGGCGGAGCAUGCGGAUUAAUUCGAUGCAACGCGUAGAACCUUACCUGGGUUUGACAUGGAUCGGGAGUGCUCAGAGAUGGGUGUGCCUCUUUUGGGGUCGGUUCACAGGUGGUGCAUGCCUGUCGUCAGCUCGUGUCGUGAGAUGUUGGGUUAAGUCCCGCAACGAGCGCAACCCUUGUUCACUGUUGCCAGCACGUUAUGGUGGGGACUCAGUGGAGACCGCCGGGGUCAACUCGGAGGAAGGUGGGGAUGACGUCAAGUCAUCAUGCCCCUUAUGUCCAGGGCUUCACGCAUGCUACAAUGGCUGGUACAGAGAGUGGCGAGCCUGUGAGGGUGAGCGAAUCUCGGAAAGCCGGUCUCAGUUCGGAUUGGGGUCUGCAACUCGACCUCAUGAAGUCGGAGUCGCUAGUAAUCGAAGAUCAGCAACGCUGCGGUGAAUACGUUCCCGGG